UGAGGAAUACAUCGGAAUCUACUUUUUCGUGGGGGAUAACGUAGGGAAACUUACGCUAAUACCGCAUACGACCUACGGGUGAAAGCAGGGGAUCUUCGGACCUUGCGCGAUUGAAUGAGCCGAUGUCGGAUUAGCUAGUUGGCGGGGUAAAGGCCCACCAAGGCGACGAUCCGUAGCUGGUCUGAGAGGAUGAUCAGCCACACUGGAACUGAGACACGGUCCAGACUCCUACGGGAGGCAGCAGUGGGGAAUAUUGGACAAUGGGCGCAAGCCUGAUCCAGCCAUACCGCGUGGGUGAAGAAGGCCUUCGGGUUGUAAAGCCCUUUUGUUGGGAAAGAAAUCCAGCCGGCUAAUACCUGGUUGGGAUGACGGUACCCAAAGAAUAAGCACCGGCUAACUUCGUGCCAGCAGCCGC
rnacentral:rRNA from 1 species